rnacentral:rRNA from 1 species
GACGAACGCUGGCGGCGUGCUUAACACAUGCAAGUCGAACGGUGAAGGGACCAGCUUGCUGGUUCUGGAUGAGUGGCGAACGGGUGAGUAACACGUGAGUAACCUGCCCCCUUCUUCUGGAUAACCGCAUGAAAGUGUGGCUAAUACGGGAUAUUCUGGGUCUGUCGCAUGGCGGGCCCGGGAAAGAUAUUGCUUCGGUGGGGGAUGGGCUCGCGGCCUAUCAGCUUGUUGGUGGGGUGAUGGCCUACCAAGGCGGUGACGGGUAGCCGGCCUGAGAGGGUGGACGGUCACACUGGGACUGAGACACGGCCCAGACUCCUACGGGAGGCAGCAGUGGGGAAUAUCGCACAAUGGGCGCAAGCCUGAUGCAGCGACGCCGCGUGAGGGAGGGAGGCCUUCGGGUUGUAAACCUCUUUCGCCAGUGAAGCAGGCCUGCUCCUUGUGGGUGGGUUGACGGUAGCUGGAUAAGAAGCGCCGGCUAACUACGUG